UCCCUGGAGGACUAGUGGUUAGGCCUCGGUGCACUCACCGCCACGGCCCAAAUUCGAUUCCCGGCCAGGGAA